CUUGCUGUUUUGCUGACGAGUGGCGGACGGGUGAGUAAUGUCUGGGAAACUGCCUGAUGGAGGGGGAUAACUACUGGAAACGGUAGCUAAUACCGCAUAACGUCGCAAGACCAAAGAGGGGGACCUUAGGGCCUCUUGCCAUCGGAUGUGCCCAGAUGGGAUUAGCUAGUAGGUGGGGUAACGGCUCACCUAGGCGACGAUCCCUAGCUGGUCUGAGAGGAUGACCAGCCACACUGGAACUGAGACACGGUCCAGACUCCUACGGGAGGCAGCAGUGGGGAAUAUUGCACAAUGGGCGCAAGCCUGAUGCAGCCAUGCCGCGUGUAUGAAGAAGGCCUUCGGGUUGUAAAGUACUUUCAGCGGGGAGGAAGGGAGUAAAGUUAAUACCUUUGCUCAUUGACGUUACCCGCAGAAGAAGCACCGGCUAACUCCGUGCCAGCAGCCGCGGUAAUACGGAGGGUGCAAGCGUUAAUCGGAAUUACUGGGCGUAAAGCGCACGCAGGCGGUUUGUUAAGUCAGAUGUGAAAUCCCCGGGCUCAACCUGGGAACUGCAUCUGAUACUGGCAAGCUUGAGUCUCGUAGAGGGGGGUAGAAUUCCAGGUGUAGCGGUGAAAUGCGUAGAGAUCUGGAGGAAUACCGGUGGCGAAGGCGGCCCCCUGGACGAAGACUGACGCUCAGGUGCGAAAGCGUGGGGAGCAACAGGAUUAGAUACCCUGGUAGU
rnacentral:rRNA from 1 species